CUUUGAGAUUCCUGGUGCAUGCUUUCUGUUUCUAUGUUUUCAACUGGCACAUGUUCACUUCCACCCCGUAAUCCUUCAGGCUGUCAUGAGACACCUUGUUAGAAGCAAAGAGAAGAGAGCAGAGGAGGGAGGGAAGAUGUGACGAAAAAAGCAACUGUCUAAGUGCUGUUAGGAUCCACCUGAUGCAUAUGGAGAAAUCAGGUUCCAGAGAGAUCAAGCAGUUUGCCCAAGGACAAAACGAAAUCUCACUAUGUUGUCCAGGCUUGUCUUGAAAUUCUGGGCUCAAAUGAUCCUCUUGCCUCAGCCUCCCAAGAUGUUGGGAUUACAAGCAUUGCUGCUGCACCCGACCUCCUUUUUUUUUUAACUGGAAAUCAGGAACUACGACUUUUGCAUACUAAUGUUCAUGGCAGCACUCUUCACAAAAACCAAAAGGUAGAAACAACCCAAGUGUCCAUCAAUGUUUGAAGACUGGAUAAAUGAAAUGUGGCAUAUACAUACAAUGAAAUAUUAUGCAGCCACCGAAAGAAAGAAACUUCUGAUACAUGCUACGGUAUGAAUGAACCUGAAAAUAUUAUGCUCAGUGAAAUAAGUCAGACAUGAAAGCAUGAACACUAUAUGAUUCCACUUAUAUGAGGCACCCAGAGUCGUGAAAUUUAUACAGACAGAAGGUAGAAGGAUGGAUGCCCGGGUCAGCAGUGAGGAGAAUGGGGAGUUAGGGUUUAACA